rnacentral:rRNA from 1 species
AGUGGUACGCGAGCUGGGUUUAGAACGUCGUGAGACAGUUCGGUCCCUAUCUGCCGUGGGCGCUGGAGAACUGAGGGGGGCUGCUCCUAGUACGAGAGGACCGGAGUGGACGCAUCACUGGUGUUCGGGUUGUCAUGCCAAUGGCACUGCCCGGUAGCUAAAUGCGGAAGAGAUAAGUGCUGAAAGCAUCUAAGCACGAAACUUGCCCCGAGAUGAGUUCUCCCUGACUCCUUGAGAGUCCUGAAGGAACGUUGAAGACGACGACGUUGAUAGGCCGGGUGUGUAAGCGCAGCGAUGCGUUGAGCUAACCGGUACUAAUGAACCGUGAGGCUUAACCUU